GAGAGGGCGCACUAGAAACCAAUCCUUCGCGCGCUGGCGGUGGGAGGGUUCAAGGGGGGACGCGAGAGGACAGCGGACGGGAGGAAGGCAGCCGACUUGGGGCGGUGGGUCUGCCAGCGAAGAGGAGGCGUCGGGGGAGGAAAGUUGCAGCGCACUCGACUGGGCGCGCCUGGCGGGGCCUGUCCCACUGAGAAGCCCCAGGUUUGCAUUGGGUUUACAGCCUGGGAGUGUGGAUGGUGAUGUAUGACCACAACUCGGCUUCAAGUGCCAGUGCUUGGGGUGCGGGUUGGGUAUGGUGGUGGUUAAAAGCUGGUAUUCAGCUUUGCACGAAGAACUGGAAGGCUAGAUCACCCAGGGCCGCGCAUCGUGAUGCAGCAUAAAAUUCCAAGAAUUUUCGUUGCUGGCUUUAAAUACUUGUAACACUGUAGAAGAAAUCCACGCGUUUUCUUCUCUAAAUCUAAGCAAUCUUUUGUCAUUAGAGUGCAGACCUGCAAAAGUAGAAAGAAUGUGUUUACAGUGGCUGGGCUCUCGGCCAUUAGAUUUUCACUAUAAACAUGUUGAGUGUCCAUUUACAGAACACAUAUCCCAGGGGCAUUCCAAAAGAGUGGAGGAGUCAAAGAUUCAGUGGAUUAACAGAGCCUUGUGAGCUUCACUUCACAGUGAGGAAUGGGGGGCAGGCACAUGAUAAAGCCAUUUCCCUCAAAGAGCUUACUUGAGGGUAUAAGACAUGUUACUUGGGGGUAUAAAACAUGUUAAAAAGAAAUAUUGCAAGUUUAAAAAUAGUAGAAGGCCGGGUGCAGUAGCUCACACCUGUAAUCCCAGCACUUUGGGAGCCCAAGGCAGGAGGAUGCCUUGAGCCCAGGAGUUCAAGACCAGCCUAGACAACAUGACGAAACCCAGGUGUCUACAAAAAUACAAGAAGUCCCAGCUAUGGGAGGCCGAGGUGUAAGGACGGAUCGCUUGGUCCCAGGAGGUCCAGGCUGCAAUGAGCCAUGAUUGUACCACUGCACUGCAGCGUGGGUGACAGAGUGAGGCCCUGUCCUCCCUCCCUCACCACAAAGGAAAAAAAAAAAAAACAGUAGAAGACAAAUACAAGAGGUCAUACAUAGAGUGUUGGUGGCAUUGACCCGCUCCAGUUCAUGAGAGAAGACUGUGCACAUCUUGGUAGUUUGAAAUGGACUACUAUGGGAGUAUUUACAUCACAGAAAUUGGCAAAUCCAUCAAGGCUUGCUUGCUUUUUUUUUUCCUUCCUUUUCUUCUUUCGGAGGGCCAGUCUGCCAGCACACCAUUGCCCCUACUCCACUCAGCCACUGUCUUGCAUUCUGAGGAGGAAGAUUUGUUCUGAAUAGAAAGUAAAGGAAACAGAAGCACUGGAGAAACUGUACGUCGAUUCUGCUUAGCAACUGAUUAUACAUUAUCUAACCUUGUUUUUAAAGUACUUCAAUUUAACACAAUGGAGCAAAUAACCAGAACAAACUUCCUGAUGAAAACUAAAGCUGGAUAAGAUUUUUAAAAAUUUUUUAAAUGGAUUUUAUUGAGCUGGCAAAAAAGGAAGAAACCCACAGAGACCAAAAACAAAGUUAAGGUGGGAAGUGAGCACACUCCUAGAAAAUCUGACAACAUUUGAGCUUCUACUUUGACAGGUGUGUAGAGUCUGGGACACAGAAGAUAAAUCCUCAGUCUUGUCCAAGAUCAGGAGAAUAAGAAGACUCUACCCCCCUAAAACCAGAAGUCCAAAGGGCCAAAGUAAAGGCGAAUGUGAAAUUAACUGGCUUUGCAGAAGAGGAUCCCAGGAAAAAUCGUCUGUCUUGAUCAAAGCCCUGAAUAAAAGAGUAUAAAAAAUAUUCUUCCUUGAAAAUUCACAACUAUGGUGUGGUCCGUAUGUAAUAUUAUGACCAAAAUUCAUGAUACCAUGGAAUUAUUUUAAAAACUUCAUGAGCCCCAGUUUGUGGUGCUUUUAACAACUGGCAGAAGGAAAGACACAUCCUCUUGGAGGGCUAUCUUGAGCCUAGGCCCCAAAGAACUUCCAUAAUCAUAAUCAGAAAACACAAAACAUAUAAUAAGCAAGGCUCCAUGUAGGAGCAGACAGAAACAAAAUGUAAGGUCAGAUACACAAAGGCUGGGGUAUGAGAAUAAGCUGACACAGAAAAUAAGUGUACUUAAUAGGUUUAAACAAAAAGGAAGUUUGAAAAUAGAAGAAAGGAACAAGAGUCUAUAAAAAACAACUGAGUAGAUUUGAAAUCAAAAUACUUCUUUGUUUUUCUUCCCAGCUAGAUAUUAUGUCCUUGAAGACACAGGGAUCAGGCUAAACACUAUAUGUUAUCGUUUGUCAAUUGAAGGAAGUUAGAAACAAAGUACUCAAUUUUUUUUGAAACCCAGCAGUAAGAAUGAGAGUUGUGACUACAUUUUUAAAAUGUAAAUGUAAAAACUCCUGUUGUAAAUGUUAAUCAAUCUCUUCUAGAGGAAAGGAAGACAAAAUCAAAAUUAAUGCAAUGCUUCCGGCUGACUGGCCUCCAGCAAAUGGCAUUGAGCUUUGUAAGUGGUCCAUCUACUCCAUUUCUCAUCUUGCAAA
rnacentral:lncRNA from 10 species